rnacentral:rRNA from 1 species
UGGGGAAUAUUGCACAAUGGGCGAAAGCCUGAUGCAGCAACGCCGCGUGAGUGAUGAAGGCCUUCGGGUUGUAAAGCUCUGUCUUUUGGGACGAUAAUGACGGUACCAAAGGAGGAAGCCACGGCUAACUACGUGCCAGCAGCCGCGGUAAUACGUAGGUGGCAAGCGUUGUCCGGAUUUACUGGGCGUAAAGGAUGCGUAGGCGGAUUUUUAAGUGAGAUGUGAAAACCCUAAGCUUAACUUGGGGACUGCAUUUCAUACUGGAAAUCUAGAGUGCGGGAGAGGAGAAUGGAAUUCCUAGUGUAGCGGUGAAAUGCGUAGAGAUUAGGAAGAACACCAGUGGCGAAGGCGAUUCUCUGGACCGUAACUGACGCUGAGGCAUGAAAGCGUGGGUAGCAAACAGGAUUAGAUACCCUGGUAGUCCACGCCGUAAACGAUGAGUACUAGGUGUAGGAGGUAUCGACCCCUUCUGUGCCGCAGUUAACACAAUAAGUACUCCGCCUGGGAAGUACGAUCGCAAGAUUAAAACUCAAAGGAA